AGUUUUUGCCUUCUACCAUGUGCAACCACUCCACCAACAGUCCUCGCCUUCGCCAUCCCCAUCCCCAUGGCAUCGCCCUCCUGCUGCCGCCUGUUGGUGCUCGGCCCGCGCCAUCCCCAGUAGCCCAAACUAUCGGCCAGCGGCAAAGUGCUGCAGAUGGAUGCCUCUGCCUUCCCAACCGACGCACUUCUGCCUUUUCGCUAAGUCUUCCAUCCCCUGCUGCUCUGCCUUUUAUAAACCGUCUCAUUCCCAUCGCUCCCCAUUGUUCACUCCCUUUCUCUGCGCCCGCCUCCAAAUUGCUUGCUCCAACGGCUGAUCAUCCCGAGUUCACCCAAUAAGAGCACACACACCUUACUCAGUUCAUGGUCUUCUAUUCCUUCUAUCGUUUCUUCUUCAUUUCUUGUUGGCUAUUCCGCCUCCAAACUGCUCGCUGAAAUGCGUCAUCCAAUCAUCUCGCUCUCCCCGGGAGCUGGCUUGUCUGAGCUUCAUGCCAAACAGCACAAAUGAGCAUUGGCCCGUUGAAAGCCUCGAAGAAAAUACACCGGCAGGAUGAGAUUUGAUCAGUUUUAUAUUUUCUAUGGACAGCUAACAAUGGUAGAAAUAGAUUCGGUCAGACCUUAUAUAUUUUUAAAUGGUCUUAUCUGCGCGAUCUGCAUAUCGAACGGGCAAUCUACCUUAGACUGAUAAUUCUGUUGAUCGAGUGGAGGGGCGCCAUUCUCUGUAUACUUUAUGGAAAAUCCUCUUUAUAAGGGAUCCUCUGACUCAAGACCACUCAAUCGACUACUGGCCACCCAGACACUUGACAUGUGCUAUGGUUAGUUCCAUGAAUUCAAAGUACAUUCAGAGUCAGAAUUUGCUUAUUCUGAUGUUCUUGAUGUUGCCUUUUCAUUUACUUAAUAGUGAUUACCUGUAGAUUUAAUAUUUCGUGCAUUUUAGAACCACUAUACUUUGCUCUAAUGAUGUGCAUACCAAGUUUUAACUACCGUAAUCUCACUCUUUUUAAAAAGUUGAAUUGAUUGAAUGAUUAGUGCCUUUCUUUUGCUUUAUUGAUGGUGUGUUCAUUCAUGCUUUAUUGAUAUAUUAUAGCUGAACCUAAUAAUUUUUGUCUCUCUUGAUCACCGCCGUAUUUGAAGACAUUCCACUCUUUUUCUUGAAGUCUCAUCAUGCAUUAUUAUUGGUUUCACUAGCGUGUGCUCUUCAAUUUUAAUUGUGAUUAUGAUUAUUGCAUUUAUAUUGUUUUCUACCCUCUGCUUCUAUAAAUGUAAUAUGAAGCUCUUGAGCAUCUACGUACCAUAUAAUUGAAAUUAAUGACUUCUUGUGGGUGAUCUAACUGCAUUCCCUUGAUACUUUGGGUCAUAUGUAGAAUUUUCUUGUGGCUAAAAGGCAUUCUUCUUGUCUCUUUCUUUCCUUUUUUUUUCCCCUAAAUAAAUUAUGGUAAAGGUGGAACAGCCAUCUGGUGUGCAAAAAGCAAUAUUAUUUCAUAGUAAGAGCUUAGGAGUCCAGGUCUGUCUAUAUACUGUCAUUCAAUCAAGUUGAAUUGCAGGUCCUGUUCUACAUGUGACAGUAUGUUACAUGCUACCCUAUUCCAGGUCUGUCUGUCUAUCUCUUUCUCUCUCUCUCUCUCUGUGUCUCUCUAUUGCAUCAACUUCAGUUAUUUUACUCUCAUACUUGGAAUGGAUUUGGCAUCAUGAAUGAUGAUUUUCCAACGAUUGCACCAGCUUUUCGAAGAGCUUCUCCUAUUUGUGCGUACCUAAUAUCCACGACAACUUGUUUGCAGUUGCAGCUGUUUGCAAUUCAAUGGUUACAAGUCUCGAAGGCCAGGUGUAUUUGCAGUUUGAAGAUAACACCCAUUAUCUGCCUACCGUAAUUCAUUUGAAAGGCUUCAGAUGCCUACUCACUCUCAACGGCUGAGGGUGUGGCUCCAAAUUCCUAUCUAGAUCUGACAUCAUGAACUUGAAGGACAAGCUGCACAAGAAGCCCUCAGUGAGGAAAGUGAACGUCCUGUAUGUAUCCAAGAAAUAUGGGAGGAAGUACUGGUUGCUGCAUGCAAUCACCAUAGGGCACUCAUGCUAUGGGAAUUGGGCGUAUGAGUUCAAUGCUGGCAAGCACACUCUCAGAGCGGAUUCGUGGGAUGGUAAUGGUUAUACUCGCUUCAAUGCCUUAAUCCACCCCUGCAAUAUGCUCCUCACACUCAGAGAUAUAUUUCCUUCAUGCUAAGCUCAUAAGAGAGUUGGAUGUGCAAGAAUUCUCCACCAAGACUCCUGCAAUCGGUGGCUCAAAUGUACCAUGUCCUUGGACCAAGGCCUGAUGCCGAAUGCUCAGAACAAGCUAUGGUGAAGGUGCUGCACGGUAGCAUCCAGGGCAGGUCAUCGGGUGACAUGGCAUUCUCUUAAAGUUGCUGUGGACAACUCAGCCUCUUUAGAGCUCCUUCAUUAUCUUCUCAAAAAACUUGGGUGAGAAUAUACUGCCCGACAUGAAUCUGGUGGUCCAAACUCAUUUAAAUCCAAUUUCUGCUGUUGCUGAGUUCGGGUACGAUCCUUCGAAUAAAUUAACUCGAUUCUGGGAUGGAAGGAGAUGGAGGGAAAAUGGUGAUUUAACAGUGAUGGUGUCUUUGGAAUUGGCCCCAGAGUUUUCCCUAAGCAGUCCUCACAUUGCAAAGACCUCAAAUCUUUCUGGGUUGUUCACUCCAAAGUAUCUGGGAGAAAUCGAGAUGGCUAAAUGUAAACUUGAUGAACGAAGACCAAAAUGGGCCAGCCUUGUGAUUAUGAUACUCCCGUUGAUCGAUUUGUUUCGCAGUACCAAGAGAGAUGAUUGAUACUCCGAUCGACUUGCUUUGCUUCUCUGCUUUCGUACUCCUAUCAUCAAAGAGACAGUCUGCCUGUGCCUUCUCUCUUAGCUCAGUGAAUCUAAAUGAAAUCAUUUUCAUGUACGUUAUUAGUUAAAUAGCCAAGAACAAUUGAUUAUUCAACUUGCCUCAUGUUUGGUUCGCUGGGAUGUUAUUGAUGAUGAAUUGAAUAGGCAAAGAUAAUGAUUGAGAAGAAAUCAAAAU